UAUUGCCUCUAGGGCAUAUUUCCUUCAGGCACAACUCCUUGUCAUGGGACCUAAAUAGAUAUUUUUUGUAGAAGCUUCAUUGGAUAGCUGAGAUUUAUCAUGAGGUGAAGAUGAUAAACGUGGUGAACCUGAGAUGUCAUUAUCGGUCUUACAAAGAUUAGACUAGCCACAAUGAGAGUAACAUAGAUGAUAACAUCACACAUAUCUAAACAAAAUAGAUGAUGUGACAAAUAAUUAAUGAAGAAAAAAAUACAUGUGAUAACAUACCUAGUUAGUCAUAAUAUGAGUAGCAUCACACAUACCAAAACAAGGUGGAUCUAUAACCUAAUAAAUAAAGUGUUGCAUAACGAGAGUGGCGUUUUGGUGGCCGAGCUACCUGCAGGCCGGAAUCUGGCGCCGUCUAGUAUAGCACCGCGAUGUGUGCUGGUAUGUUUCAUCGCUUGUAUAGGCUGGCUGUUAAGAUGGAAUACACCAGUGCCAUGGGCUGGGGUGCUAUCAUUGUACGUGGGCCUCAAGUACACAUGGUUACGCAUGCACCUCAUGUGCCUGCUGGGCUACUUUGAAAAUCGCACAUGUAGCUGACAGUAGGUUGGGCUGUUGCGAAAUUAAUUUUCAGUUUGAUGGGCCCAUCUGACGCUGCAGGUGCUUAUUUUAUUUUUUCCCGGUUAGACCAUUCAUCGCCUUCGCCUGGUAGCUGGUCAAGCGGCGGUUCGCCAUGGACGGCCUGGAAUUCUUCUUGAGGAAGUAGAAUCAGGAUUGGUUCCUAGGGUGGAUGCUGGUGAUAUUUUGGGGGUGGAAUCGAUGCCGUGGAGUCCGUGGUUGCUUCCAUCCAUGAAGCUUGUGGGCGCUCCACGGAUUUGAUCUCUUUCGAUCCCAUGGCAGGCAGUGGUGGCGAAGGGCAGUUCCAGAGUUGGAGGAUAAUGUUAGUGAGGUGGUUGGUGACUCAAAUGACAUGGCCCCAUAGGAUACCACCAAUGCAGCUGUUGUAGAGGAUCAACAACUCAAAGGGCUCCUGCUGGACUCGUCGACCAAACUUUUGAAUGGAGGUUGCCAUAGCAAAUGUCAUGCCGGAGAUAGCCCAUCGAUGGUGCAAAUGGCAUGUGUUGAAAAAGCAAACGAGUGCCUUUGGCCGCUGCUAGGCAAGGGUAGUGAAUUCAAAACAGAAGUUCAACAAGUUGGUGCAUCACAUGAUUAGUGAGAGAGUUUGAGGAUGGUUGGGCGUUUAUGCUUGAGAAGCUCUACAACAAAACACAUUUCGCACCCAAAUAUACAAGGUCCGGAUGAAGUGUUCUAAACCUUAUUUCAUGGAUGUUUUCUCUGCCAAAAUGACCAGCACGCAGCAGAGUGAAAACUGCAAACAUUUGCUCAAACCUGAACAAGGAAUACAUGCAUCCAAAAUUCACACGAUGACUAUGUUUGAAAAGUUUGGUGAGACGCUAUAUGAGGGUGGGUCAUAUAUUCUAAUUGAAUUUGUGCAUCGUCGCGAAUACAUAGCCAGGCAUGUAAAGAAGGAUUCCUAGGACAAGUGGUGUAAAAAUGAAUUCCUUGUUCAGGUGAAUAAGCUUGCUGAUGAAUUCAAGUGUGAGCGUGGAAUGUUUGAGCAUUUCGGCAUGGUGUGCAACCAUGCACUAAAGGUGAUGAUCCGGCUUGGCCGAAAGAGGUUCCAACAAAACACUUGCUGAAACGUUGGACAAGGGAUGCAAGGGAUAUACUCCCACCAGAGUUUCUGGCGCUACUAGAAGGACCAGGGACCUCUCAAAUACUCCUCGCGGCGACAUAACAAUCUGCAUAUGCUUUGCCUUGAAAUUGUUAGACUGGAUGACAGCAAUGUGGAUGCAUAUACUCUUGCAAUGGACCAACUAAGAAAUGCGUAAACAGUACUGGAGCCAGUGGCUGCCAUACGUGAUGAUAUGGGGUUGUCCGACAGAGAGAUGGCAGGUGAUUCUGCUUGUUCAGCUGUAGCACACAAGCAACAUUUUGGUCCAACGAAUCAGAUGCAAAGUGCCUCGCAAUGUUCAGAUAGUUCUGCAGCACCAUCAAAGAAGAGACCAGCAGGGCGCGCUACCACAAGAUGCGACAAAAGCGCCAUACGAACAGCCAGCUAAAAGGAUUAGGUUCUGUUCAAUAUGCAAGGGGCAAGCUCACAAAAGUAAUACAUGUCCUGAUGUCCACAACGUGGUUAUCUUCCAAAGGCGCCCAAGAAGCCACCUCGCUGCUCUAGGUGCAGCCUGAGGGGCCACAGAAGGAACACCUGCACCAACCCACCCAAAGCGGAUUUCAACGACUGAUUUCAUUUGGAUUUAAUGUUUGAAAAAUCGAACUUCAGACUGAAAAAUUAGAUGUUCGUUGCCUGAAAAAUACUGUGCAUGUAUCUGUGUUUUUGUGGUUGUCGGACUGCUAGCAUCUGUUCAGAAUUUUAGUAAAAUUAUGACUGUCUGAAUCACUAGUGUCGUUGUUGUUGGUAAAUCAUUUGGAGUGGCUGUGUACGCUAUGAGA